ACUGGAAACGGUAGCUAAUACCGCAUAACGUCGCAAGACCAAAGAGGGGGACCUUCGGGCCUCUUGCCAUCGGAUGUGCCCAGAUGGGAUUAGCUAGUAGGUGGGGUAACGGCUCACCUAGGCGACGAUCCCUAGCUGGUCUGAGAGGAUGACCAGCCACACUGGAACUGAGACACGGUCCAGACUCCUACGGGAGGCAGCAGUGGGGAAUAUUGCACAAUGGGCGCAAGCCUGAUGCAGCCAUGCCGCGUGUAUGAAGAAGGCCUUCGGGUUGUAAAGUACUUUCAGCGGGGAGGAAGGCGAUAAGGUUAAUAACCUUGUCGAUUGACGUUACCCGCAGAAGAAGCACCGGCUAACUCCGUGCCAGCAGCCGCGGUAAUACGGAGGGUGCAAGCGUUAAUCGGAAUUACUGGGCGUAAAGCGCACGCAGGCGGUCUGUCAAGUCGGAUGUGAAAUCCCCGGGCUCAACCUGGGAACUGCAUUCGAAACUGGCAGGCUAGAGUCUUGUAGAGGGGGGUAGAAUUCCAGGUGUA
rnacentral:rRNA from 1 species